rnacentral:rRNA from 1 species
UACAGAGGGGGCAAGCGUUAUUCGGAAUUAUUGGGCGUAAAGGGCGCGUAGGCGGCUUGGCAAGUGGAAGGUGAAAUCCCUCGGCUUAACCGAGGAACUGCCCUCCAAACUGCUUGGCUUGAGACCGGGAGAGGUGAGUGGAAUUCCCAGUGUAGCGGUGAAAUGCGUAGAUAUUGGGAGGAACACCAGUGGCGAAGGCGGCUCACUGGACCGGUACUGACGCUGAUGCGCGAAAGCGUGGGGAGCAAACGGG